rnacentral:tRNA from 1 species
AAUGGAAAGCCUGAUUAAAGGAUCAUUUUGAUAAGAUGAAAUAUGUGCCCCCCCACUUCCAUUA